AACACAUACCCAGUAUAUUAAUUAGAAGCACCGUUCUAAUAAUUACACUCAAAUUAAUUAGCAGCAUAAUUCUUAUGGGGCUAAAAACACAAAAGAAGAUAAUACAACAGGUUACUUACACAAAACAAUAGAUUACUUGCACAAAUUAAAAUAUACUUCAAAAAAAUAAAAAAUAAAAUAAUAAUAAAAAUAAAAUUGCAAAACUGCACUUAACUACUCCAUCAUGAAACACUCUUAAAAAAUUUGACAAAAGAAAAUGGGAGGGAAAGGAACCCACGAUCUAGAUGAAACUACCAUUAAAAUGCCCACUAGGCCACUACACUAACACUCCACAAAAUAAACUAACUUCGUACUUAUACCACAAAUAAAACACCUACAAUGUUACUCCAUUUCGCGAAAAUUCACGAUUAUGUUUCUCCUGGGUACUAAUUUACAUAUAGGUUCGGCAUGAUAUACGGAGUAGUGGAAUAUCGUCGUUGUUAUUCUGUCAUUUCCAAUGCAGUUCGAUAGUCGGCAACCACACAAUCUUCUCAUUGUCCAAGUUAGAUGUUCUCUUUUUUCUAAAGUAUGGAAAAUCAAAUGUCAUCUACAUCAUACUAUCGAAACUUAGCACGAGAAAGAAGUACCCCCGAACAACUUGAACAAGAAGCGAUUACUCAGAAUGCUCGAAGGCGCGCUACUUAUAAUUCAAGGAGAAAUAGUCGGCAACGCACUAAUUCAUCUGCUUUAUUGAAAAUUACCAAUCAGCGUGUUACAAUUGAAACACACCCUACUUCAACCAAUCCUUCAAGACACACCUGAGUUACUUAUUAUCAUGUUUUUAGCAUACUUAAUAUUGAGAAAUUAUUUAUUUUACUUCGUAUGACAAAUUGACAAUAGUAUGUAUUUGUAAUUUUCAAGCUCAAUUAAAUAACACUUCAUUGGUUAGUGGGUCAUGGAAUUAAGUAAUGUACUCAGACACACUCUUUUAGUAUUUAAUGUUUUAUUAUGAAGUAUGCUUAAAAAUAAUGCAUUUGACGAAA